UCCUACGGGGGGCAGCAGUGAGGAAUAUUGGUCAAUGGCCGGAAGGCUGAACCAGCCAAGUCGCGUGAGGGACGACUGCCCUAUGGGUUGUAAACCUCUUUUAUAAGGGAAGAAUAAAUGCUACGUGUAGCAUGAUACCUGUACCUUAUGAAUAAGCAUCGGCUAACUCCGUGCCAGCAGCCGCGGUAAUACGGAGGAUGCGAGCGUUAUCCGGAUUUAUUGGGUUUAAAGGGUGCGUAGGCGGUUUUUUAAGUUAGUUGUUAAACGUCGGGGCUUUACCUUGUUUGGCCAUUAAAACUGUAGUU
rnacentral:rRNA from 1 species